AUGAGCGUGAGGAGCCCGUCGCUAGAUGUCGACGGCAGCGGCGCUGAGAGUAUAUUUGGGUCGGGUGGCAUCGGCGGGUUCGCGGCUAUAGUGUUGGAGCCUCCGUCGGCGUGCUCCUCAUUGUCUCCACCGCCGCACUCACCAUCUACUUAUCAGCACGUCCAUGCCGUGGCCGCCACUAGCCCACCCAUCUCCGAGACUUGUCCUCCUCGAUCACGCCGCGGCGAUGACGUCGAGGCCGGCAUCGACGACGCGACGUUGGAGGCGUUCACGGCCGUGGUCUACAGUGAGGCUAGAAAGGCUGCGACAGCAUUGCGGCGGCGAUGCAGACAAGCUGCCUCGUAUGCCUAGAGAACUACGG
rnacentral:lncRNA from 1 species